AAUUCUCAACCAUUUCAGCUUUUUCUAGCUGAUUUAGGCUUGGAUGUGGGAGUUUGCGGGCUUCUCUGAAGUCGGCUCUCCUUAAAUAUAUUAGUAGGGACCUCUGUUGCCUCAGCUCUUGGUGUGAUAGUUAUCUACGCCAUUCUGCGAAGCAGCUUUAAAAUGGGGUUACUGCUUUCUAACAGUCUCUACCGAGACAACUUCUGACA
rnacentral:misc_RNA from 1 species